GCAACAGUAGUAUACCGCUGUUCAAAACUCAUAAAUCCAGGGACAAAAAACAAAAUCGGGGUAACAAACUAAAACCGAGGGAAACGCAUUAAAUAUAAGAGAACAACGACAUAACACCGAAAUGUAACACACACAGAAACGGACCAAGCAUCAGACAAAACACCACGAGAAUAACAAAUAUAACAAGAAAACCAAAUACAUGAAUUUGGGAUAGACAAGUAUCGUGCCACGUUUGAUCUCAAUAUCUCAAAAAUAAGAGAAAACACAAACGACUCAACGUUAAAAUGCAACACACACAGAAACGAAC
rnacentral:lncRNA from 1 species